UUCCCCUCCCCUUUCUCUUGGAUGCCACCCCCUCCCCUCUCCCAUCUUCUUCCUCCUCAAACCUUUGCAGCCCUCACCACCCAAAACCCUAGUCCCCCCCCCCAUUUCUCUUUCCCCCCUCCAAGGUGCAGCCCUCCUGCGUGGUUCUCCGUCAUGUGGCGCGAUCUCAAUUGGAGUUUCGAGGGAGGAAGAAGGAAGGAGGAAGGGAAGAACCCAAGGUGAAUUUGUGUUUAACUUUUGUUGUUUUUGUGCUGCAAUCAAUUGGAUUAUGCGUUUAUCUUUGCGAAACGGUAGAGGUGUUGUCCAGGAUUUUUGUGAGUGGGUGGACAGCAGUAGUUCAAGGGAUUUCUGGGAAUUUUCGUGGGUUAAUUAGUGGGAAUCAGUGGGAUAAUCAUGUAGAGCUUUGUCAUACCUUUCCAACGAGUACUUAUGCGCUCGAUUCGGAGUUAUAAUUUAGGAGAUAUCGUUGUUUGAAUCCGGGUAUGUUGCUGUCCAAAAAACAGAUAUUUCAGGUGGGUGAACAGCAGUAGUAUUAGCAGUUUCUAGGAAUUUUUAGUGGGUAAUUAGUGAUAACCAGUAUGAUAAUCAUGUAGGGCUUUGUCUUAUCUUUCCAAUGAGUACUUAUGCGCUUGAUUUGAAAUUAUAUUUUAAAAGAUAUCGCUGUUUGAAUCCGGGUAUGUCGCUGUCCAAAAGAGAAAAAAACAGAUUACAGGGUUUAUCUUGUGGACUGUUUUGGGCUAUUUAGAUUUUGGAAUUUAAUUAUAAAUUGUAUACAAAACUUGUGGGGAAUUUUAUGUAGAUGCCUCUGGAGUUUUUGUUUGUUACCACUGCUGUCAUAAUUUUAAAGUUAUGAAAUUAUUAAGCAGCGCUGCUGCAGUUUGGUGGGUGUGGGGAGAGAUGUUACCCGCGGCGGGGUUUGAGAUUGUGCGUAGGUGCGGCGUCGUUUAUGAGCGUGAUUGUGUGUAAUUAGUGCACUAAGUUGUGUGUCAAAAACAGGUGGUGGACUUCCGGAUCGUACUUAGAGAUUUGCCCAAACUUCCGGUGAAGGCAAGUAAAACAGUGAUGGUUAUUUCGUCUGUUGAUUGAAGAGUCUUAUACUUGAUUAUGUUUGUGUUAUUUGUGUUCGUAUUCAUAUUCCUAAUUGGGUACCGUUGUUUGAAAUUAUUCAUGUUUUAUUGAUUAUACAUGUGGAGGGUGUGGUUUGAUCAUGUUACCCAUGUGGUUUAUUAUGUGAAAUGGGUGGAGGUAUAUGUCUAGCACACUUUAUUUGGGAAGAACUCAUGUCGUUGACAUGCAUAAUGCCUUCAUCAUCCAUUGCAUUGAAGUUUCGUCGCGAUCUUAUGGUACGACCGUACCAGUACAAUGAGCAUCAUAUGUUGCCCAAGAAGGGGUAUGAUGCAGCUUCAUAUCCUUAGAGGUAUGAAGGCAGAAGUCAUACUGCAUCUGUAGCCAUGUGCAUUCAUGGGGGAAGUGUGGAACCUAUUAUGGUGAUGUGGAUAAUGUGGAUCUUUACUUUGUGAUUUAUCUUGGCAUUGAGUAAUUGAUUACUUGCUUACUUGCUGCAGAUUAAUAUUUAAGAAAGAAGUUGGGAACCACGUGGUUGCUUAUGCACGGUUGGCUUACAUUGUCUAACUGUUGUUUGUUUUUUUACUUGCUGAGAUGUGUCAUCUCACUCUUGCGUUGUCUAAUGCAGGCACCUGAUUUUUGCUUUGGGAAAGAAGGGAUGUAGCAGCACGGCCACCACACUUUUAAAUAAAGGAACCACUGCUUAAUAAUGAUGUUAAACAGGGAGGGUCAAGUCUAGGAGAUUAUUACAUUCUAAUCUUUCAUGGUAGUUCAACUGUUUAGUUUGGUGGGCUGAGUUGUCUAUCUUUU
rnacentral:lncRNA from 1 species